AACAUUUCAUUAAUCCUACCAAUUCAAAGAAAACAACAAUGCUUAAAAGCAAUUAACAGUCAACAUGCAAAGAAACUACAAAAGAAAUGCUGAAACAGCCAAAUGAUUGCCAGCUUUAGGGAAUGACUUCUUCAAUCUUGAUCCAUUAACUUAGGGGGACACCCCUUGAGAUCUUCGCACUUGUCCGGUCGAUGGGUUAACAUUUACCAACAAG
rnacentral:lncRNA from 1 species